GACAGCCAUCUUCCCUCGGGCCCCGAUGUACUGAGCAUCUUAGGUAGGUGAAGAGAUGGGUGCACAUAGGGCUGGAAGACAGGCAGAUGUGUGCACCACAACUCCGUCCUUUCCUUAAGUCUGUGAAGCUACUGCCAAUGCUCCUGCGGAUGGAUCCGUUGCCCGCGGUAUCAGCACGUUCCUCUUUCAGCUGAAAUAAAUAACCCCCCUUGAAAAGUUUCGGGAUAAAUAGCUGAGAUUCCCGGCACAGCCGAGUUGCGCCGCCUUCUGCCCCUUCCCCCGGGGCUGCCGCACUAGUAGCGGAGCGGGCUCCUGCCGCGGGGCUUCCCCUGCGGUUCCGGGAGUGCCGCCGCGGGCUGCGGCAGCACAAGCCGGUGCGCUCUGGUGGACCCGGCCGGUGCUGAGCUGCAGGCAUUGGCUUUCCCUGAAGGGCUAUUGGCAGGGCCCUGGCCUGGCGCCCCCAGGAGCUGAGGCUGAAGAGCUGUCACCAAGAAGAUUGGGGAGGAGAAUCCUCUGGUGCCGCCCAGCCCCCGAGCAACGCAGAUUCAGAACGGCUGUGCACUCGCUUCACCGCUCCCUGCCUGGCGCCCUCCCGUCUGACAUCCCCAGGGAGGUUUACCCCGGAUCUGCAGACAAGGACGUGGCCGCUGCGAAACGCUGCUGUGGGGAGAAGCAAGUCCCGGCCCACACCGCAGCUGUGAAGGGACAGCUCUUCUCGGUUUUCUCUUUACAGCUAUAACGGGGAGAACUAAGGCUCCUCCUGCUUGUGGGUCAUUGUGGAAGCGGGGCAAGCGCGGCCCCAGGACGGUACGGGGACGAGAUGCGUUUCCUUGGCACCGCCGUGCUCGUGGCGCUUCUCGAUGUCAGUGAGUGCAAAGUCCGCUGCGCUUUAGCUGGUUCGCAGAGUCCGCUGGAGCGGUGGUAAGGGCCAGGCUGAGGUAGCGCGGGUUAGUCCGCAGCCUCCGGUCGGGCUGCGUCUGCGCUCGGCUGCCCUGAAAGCAAGAAGCUGAUGCUAUUUCACCCCUCGGGGGAGACCCGCACUUGUCUGCGGCCGGCGGGGAAGUACCUGCCUGCCUGCAAAUUCGAGGGGGAUUUAGGUGCCUAUUUCCUUCGGCCACUUUUCUUUAUUCUCUGCCCCAGGUGUGCAGGACAAGGGGAAAAUCAGGCUGGGUGGGUUAAACCCUCCGCACCUCGGAAAAGACGGGGAAGACCAGUACCCGGGCACCUGGAGCUGAGGUUUUCCAAGCAAGUCACAGGGCGGGGAGCUCUGCGCAGUCAGUAAGGCAGACAGGAGGGGCCGUCGCCGUGCAUGAGGGCACCCCGUGUUUAUCAACUGCACCUACAAGUACUCGGGGGUCCCCGAGCUCUUCUGGUACCGGCAGCUCCCAGGCGACCCCCCUCGCCUUCUGCUGACCCAGUAUAAAGACCUGGAAGAGGAAAAGGAGAAAGGCGGGCGUGAGUUCUCCGCAGACCUCGACAAUUUUUUUUUUUCAGUAAGAAAAUAUAAAAUAUAUAUUUCUCUCUA